rnacentral:rRNA from 1 species
UACGUAGGGUGCGAGCGUUAAUCGGAAUUACUGGGCGUAAAGCGUGCGCAGGCGGUUGUGCAAGACAGAUGUGAAAUCCCCGGGCUCAACCUGGGAAUUGCAUUUGUGACUGCACGGCUAGAGUGUGUCAGAGGGGGGUAGAAUUCCACGUGUAGCAGUGAAAUGCGUAGAGAUGUGGAGGAAUACCGAUGGCGAAGGCAGCCCCCUGGGAUAACACUGACGCUCAUGCACGAAAGCGUGGGGAGCGAACAGG